GCUGGUGUAACUCAGUUUGGUAGAGUAGGGGUUUUGUUGAGGGUCUUUACAUGAAUGAGGAUCUUCAACAAACCUCAGGUCGGGGGUUCGAAUCCUCUCACCAGCU
rnacentral:tRNA from 1 species